rnacentral:rRNA from 1 species
UACGGGGGGGCAAGCGUUGUUCGGAAUUACUGGGCGUAAAGGGCUCGUAGGCGGCCAACUAAGUCAGACGUGAAAUCCCUCGGCUUAACCGGGGAACUGCGUCUGAUACUGGAUGGCUUGAGUUCGGGAGAGGGAUGCGGAAUUCCAGGUGUAGCGGUGAAAUGCGUAGAUAUCUGGAGGAACACCGGUGGCGAAGGCGGCAUCCUGGACCGACACUGACGCUGAGGAGCGAAAGCCAGGGGAGCAAACGGG